rnacentral:rRNA from 1 species
UACUGCAAGUCGAGCGGAAGAAGGGAGCUUGCUCCCGGAUGUUAGCGGCGGACGGGUGAGUAACACGUGGGUAACCUGCCUGUAAGACUGGGAUAACUCCGGGAAACCGGAGCUAAUACCGGAUAGUUCCUUGAACCGCAUGGUUCAAGGAUGAAAGACGGUUUCGGCUGUCACUUACAGAUGGACCCGCGGCGCAUUAGCUAGUUGGUGAGGUAACGGCUCACCAAGGCGACGAUGCGUAGCCGACCUGAGAGGGUGAUCGGCCACACUGGGACUGAGACACGGCCCAGACUCCUACGGGAGGCAGCAGUAGGGAAUCUUCCGCAAUGGACGAAAGUCUGACGGAGCAACGCCGCGUGAGUGAUGAAGGUUUUCGGAUCGUAAAGCUCUGUUGUUAGGGAAGAACAAGUGCAAGAGUAACUGCUUGCACCUUGACGGUACCUAACCAGAAAGCCACGGCUAACUACGUGCCAGCAGCCGCGGUAAUACGUAGGUGGCAAGCGUUGUCCGGAAUUAUUGGGCGUAAAGGGCUCGCAGGCGGUUUCUUAAGUCUGAUGUGAAAGCCCCCGGCUCAACCGGGGAGGGUCAUUGGAAACUGGGAAACUUGA